CAAGGCUCGGACUUAGUAGUACCGUAGUAAGAGGUCCACUGAGUCCACUGUCAUGGCGACGCUGAGCUGUAACACUCGUCUGUGCCUCAGAGCUGUGGCACUUGGCUAUAGCGCUGAGCUGUUCCGCUUUGCCACAACAACUGUAAGAACAUACAACUGGCUCCAGUUUGACUAUUUUAGAUUCCACAUAAUCCACAUCAACAAGCCAAGAGGGAGAAGAGAAGAGGUCAAGGGACAAAAGUGUCCACUCUCAGCGGAGUCAGCCCUCUUUCCAGUGGUUUUGCAGGAGCCCUUAUUAUUCGCCUCUUGUUGAGACUCCCUUGAACACUUCAUUCCCCUCUGAGAAAUUGCUAAAUGUCAGCCAAAAAUGAAUGCUGCAGGAUCUUGGAGAAUCUGACAAAUGAUGGACACUGAUAGCCCAUUCUGUGGCGAGUUACUCAGAGUGGAGGCUGAGAGGACUUAGUGAGAACUCUCAGUUGGUUGGAGAAGCUGGCUGUGGAUUCCAGCCUGAAGAUGCGGACAUGUCUCCUGCCAUGUGGUGCUGUCAGCCGCCUUCUCCAGUGUGACCAGUUGGUGGCCAAGAUGCUGAGCCCUGACAGGAUCUGGGACAGAGAGAACCUGAUUUGGGAGCUGUCCCUGGCAAGUGACCAAGAUAGCCUAAGGUGAUCACAUGAUGGGUCUGCUGGAUAGAGGUCUUCCAACCAGCCCAUGACAUUCAUUUUCUGGAGAGAAUAUUAGAAUUGGAGAAGGUUGUGUCAUUAUUCUAAGAUUCCUUAAGGAGGGCAAUGGGAGCAGAAGUGAACCUCCAAUUCAGGAAGCAGUGGGAGCUCCACUUCACCUAACUCUCAGCUGUCCUUAAGUGUGAACUGAAACCGAAUGUAACAUGCAUGGUCUCUAGUCCAGUUGUCAAUAGAGUCCUCAUUCCCAGCUCUGGCGUCUCCAUGCUGACCACGUUGACCGUCACCAGCCAGCACCCCCUCCCCUAGGUUUCAGCGUGUGAGAGCCUGGGGGCUGGAGAGCUGGGCUGAGGCAGCCAGCACACAACGGCCAACAGCUGACCUCAGCCACUGGCGGCCAGCUAACUGCGUGCUUCUGCUCCAACAACCC
rnacentral:lncRNA from 1 species